GGCCCGGUAGCUCAGUGGUUAGAGCGCUGGCUUCGCAAGCCAGAUGACCGGGUUCGAUUCCCCGGCCGGGUGG
rnacentral:tRNA from 1 species